rnacentral:rRNA from 1 species
CCAGACUCCUACGGGAGGCAGCAGUGGGGAAUAUUGCACAAUGGGGGGAACCCUGAUGCAGCGACGCCGCGUGGGCGAGGAAGUAUUUCGGUAUGUAAAGCCCUAUCGGCAGGGAAGAAGAAAUGACGGUACCUGAAUAAGAAGCACCGGCUAAAUACGUGCCAGCAGCCGCGGUAAUACGUAGGGGCAAGCGUUAUCCGGAUUUACUGGGUGUAAAGGGAGCGUAGACGGCGAUGCAAGUCUGAAGUGAAAGGCGGGGGCCCAACCCCCGGACUGCUUUGGAAACUGUAUAGCUGGAGUGCAGGAGAGGUAAGUGGAAUUCCGAGUGUAGCGGUGAAAUGCGUAGAUAUUAGGAGGGACACCAGUGGCGAAGGCGGCUUACUGGACUGUAACUGACGUUGAGGCUCGAAAGCGUGGGGAGCAAACAGGAUUAGAUACCCGGGUA